rnacentral:rRNA from 1 species
UACGUAGGGGGCAAGCGUUGUCCGGAUUUAUUGGGCGUAAAGAGCGUGUAGGCGGCCUUACAGGUCAGCUGUGAAAACUCGAGGCUCAACCUCGAGACGUCGGUUGAAACCGUAUGGCUAGAGUCCGGAAGAGGAGAGUGGAAUUCCCGGUGUAGCGGUGAAAUGCGCAGAUAUCGGGAAGAACACCCGUGGCGAAGGCGGCUCUCUGGGACGGUACUGACGC